UGCCGUAUUAAGGCGAAACCGCGAAUGGCUCAUUAAAUCAGUUAUGGUUCCUUGGAUCGUACAUUCCUACUUGGAUAACUGUGGUAAUUCUAGAGCUAAUACAUGCAGCAGAGCUCCGACCUUCGGGGACGAGCGCUUUUAUUAGACCAAAACCAAUCGGACUCUGUCCGUCUCUCGUGGUGACUCUGAAUAACUUUGGGCUGAUCGCACGGGCCCGUCCCGGCGACGUAUCUUUCAAGUGUCUGCCUUAUCAACUUUCGAUGGUAGGUUAUGCGCCUACCAUGGUCGUUACGGGUAACGGGGAAUCAGGGUUCGAUUCCGGAGAGGGAGCCUGAGAAAUGGCUACCACAUCCAAGGAAGGCAGCAGGCGCGCAAAUUACCCACUCCCAGAACGGGGAGGUAGUGACGAAAAAUAACAAUACGGGACUCUUUUGAGACCCCGUAAUUGGAAUGAGUACACUCUAAAUCCUUUAACGAGGAUCCAUUGGAGGGCAAGUCUGGUGCCAGCCGCCGCGGUAACUCCAGCUCCAAUAGCGUAUAUUAAAGUUGUUGCGGUUAAAAAGCUCGUAGUUGGAUCUCAGUUCCAGACGGGUGGUCCGCCUACCGGUGGUUACUGCCUGUUCUGAACAGCCAGCCGGUUUCUCUUGAUGAUCUUCACCGGUUGUCUUGGGUGACCGGCAAGUUUACUUUGAAAAAAUUAGAGUGCUCAAAGCAGGCGCGACGCCUGAAUAAUGGUGCAUGGAAUAAUGGAAUAGGACCUCGGUUCUAUUUUGUUGGUUUUCGGAACACGAGGUAAUGAUUAAGAGGGACAGACGGGGGCAUUCGUAUUGCGACGCUAGA
rnacentral:rRNA from 1 species